CACUCGUCCAGUCACUUCAAACGGACACGAUGUCUCCAACAAUUAUAACAUACAAAAAUGUGUGGGAAUAUUAUACAAAAGUGUCGGAUUUCAAAGCGAAAUGCAAGUAUUGCAGAAAUACAUAUCGUUAUAAAAACUCGUCACACUUCAAAACACAUAUACAAAUACAUAAAGAAAUUUCGGAAGACGAAGAAAAGAAGAAACUAAUACGAUGGAAGUAUUUCAAAUAUUUAAACCAAUACUCUUCACAAUGUGUUAUCUGUAAUACAGAUGUUCCGUCUACAACUGAAUCUAUAGAACAUCAUUUAAGUUUGCAUCCUGAAGAACAACAAAAGAAUAAUAUAUAUGGAACAGAUUGGACAUUGAGAUUUCGGACAGAAAAAAAUAAUAAUAUAGUGGAAUGUAAUAUUUGUCAUAAAGAUAUAUCUCUUCCCAUUAAAAACAGUUUAGAUUAUCAUAUAAAAAUGAAACAUUCGAACACAUUGAAAAAUACGCAAGAAGCAUACGACACAGUUGGUUCGUCAGAACGCGUUUCAUCACUUCGAACGGACACAAUGUCUCUAAAAAUUAUAACUAACAAGAAUGUGUGGGAAUAUUAUACAAAAGUGUCAGAUUUCAAAGCAAAAUGCAAGUCAUGCGGAAAUACAUAUUGUUACAAAAACUCAACAAACUUCAAAAGCCAUAUAAAAAUACAUAAAGAAAUUUCGGAAGACGAAGAAAAGAAGAAACUAAUACGAUGGAAGUAUUUCAAGUAUUUAAACAAAUUAUAUUCGCAAUGUAUUAUCUGUAAUAGAGAUGUUCCGUCCACAAUUAAAUCUGUAAAACAUCAUUUAAGUUUGCAUUCCAAAAAAGAACAAAAGAAUUAUAUACAUGUAACAGAUUGGACAUGGAGAUUUUGGACAGAAAAAAAUGAUAAUAAAGUGGAAUGUAAUAUUUGUCAUAAAGAUAUAUCUCUUUUUAUUCACAAAAAUUUAGAUAAUCAUAUAAAAACGAAACAUUCGAACACAUUGAAAAAUACGCAAGAAGCAUACGACACAGUUGGUUCGUCAGAACGCGUUUCAUCACUUCGAACGGACACAAUGUCACUAUCUAGAAAGCAUCUGUGGAAAUAUUAUAUAAAACUGCCGAAUUUUAAAGCGAAGUGCAUGUCUUGUAAAACUAAAUAUACUUAUAUAGCAAAUACACACUUCAAAAGACAUAUUAAAACACAACACAAAGAAAUUUGGAAAUACGAAGAAAAAAAAGAAUUUACAAAAUUGCCAUGGAUGUAUUUCAAGUAUUCAGACGAAUUAUAUUCACAAUGUAUUAUUUGUAAUAAAUAUAUUCUAUCUACAUUGGAUACUGUGGAAAAGCACUUAAAUUGGCAUGGAAAAACAAGAGAAACAAAUAUAUCACGAUAAAUAUCAAGUACGCUGAAUUAUCAUCUAAAGCAGGCACAUCCGGAGAAAUUGAAAAAUACGCAAGAAGCAUACGAUACAGUUGGUUCAUCAGAACGCGUUUCAUCACUUGAAACGGACACAAUGUCUGAGUAACCAAGAGAUUAUUUUAAAUCAUUCAACCCAUCGGUCUGAAAUGCACUAUUGAGUUGGCUAUGGGAAUAUGUACAAAAAGAUGAUUUUGGAGCAUAGUAGUAGAAGCAUGAAGUAGAGCAUAAUAUUUGUUACACAGAAACAUAUCUAUUGCUAUUACAACUCAUUUCAAUCACCAUAUUAAAGAUGAACAUCAUUUGGCAAACCAACUAAACUGAAUAAAAAAAAGGCAAUUUAUCCAGAAGUUGACAAUGGAAAUGAUCCAAGUAGCAUCACAACCAGCAAUAAUGACAGUUUUGACAAUUAUAAUUUACUAUAAGAUAUACACAAGAAAAGUGGCAUAUAUAGCUCUAACGUAUAAUUAUUUGUUUUAUAAAGUUAUGAAUAUGAUGAUCUAUGUUAUA